rnacentral:tRNA from 1 species
AAGGUUUUAUCUUAAUUAAAGAAUCUGGGUUGCAUUCAGAAGAUGCGGGAAGACGCCCGCAAACCUUA